rnacentral:ribozyme from 1 species
UUUUUUUUUUUUUUUUUUUUUUUUUUUUCAUGGUGCUGGAUGUUUCUCCU